rnacentral:rRNA from 1 species
AGUAACAAGGUUUCCGUAGGUGAACCUGCGGAAGGAUCAUUA